UUGUUGGUAAGGUAAAAGCUUACCAAGGUUUCGAUCAGUAGCUGGUCUGAGAGGACGACCAGCCACACUGGGACUGAGACACGGCCCAGACUCCUACGGGAGGCAGCAGUGGGGAAUUUUGGACAAUGGGGGCAACCCUGAUCCAGCCAUGCCGCGUGAGUGAAGAAGGCCUUCGGGUUGUAAAGCUCUUUCAGCCGGAACGAAACGGUUACGGAUAACACCCGUGACUACUGACGGUACCGGAAGAAGAAGCACCGGCUAACUACGUGCCAGCAGCCGCGGUAAUACGUAGGGUGCGAGCGUUAAUCGGAAUUACUGGGCGUAAAGCGUGCGCAGGUGGUUUUGUAAGUCAGAUGUGAAAGCCCCGGGCUCAACCUGGGAACUGCGUUUGAAACUACAAGACUAGAGUGUGGCAGAGGGGGGUGGAAUUCCGCGUGUAGCAGUGAAAUGCGUAGAGAUGUGGAGGAACACCGAUGGCGAAGGCAGCCCCCUGGGUCAACACUGACGCUCAGGCACGAAAGCAUGGGGAGCAAACAGGAUUAGAUACCCUGGUAGUCCAUGCCCUAAACGAUGUCAACUAGUUGUCGGGCCUUUACGGGCUUGGUAACGUAGCUAACGCGUGAAGUUGACCGCCUGGGGAGUACGAUCGCAAGAUUAAAACUCAAAUGAAUUGACGGGGACCCGCACAAGCGGUGGAUUAUGUGGAUUAAUUCGAUGCAACGCGAAAAACCUUACCUACCCUUGACAUGUAUCGAAGCCCGCAGAAAAGCGGGGGUGCCCGAAAGGGAACGAUAACACAGGUGCUGCAUGGCUGUCGUCAGCUCGUGUCGUGAGAUGUUGGGUUAAGUCCCGCAACGAGCGCAACCCUUGUCAUUAAUUGCCAUCAUUUAGUUGGGCACUUUAAUGAGACUGCCGG
rnacentral:rRNA from 1 species